rnacentral:rRNA from 1 species
CUACGGGGUGCUGCAGUGGGGAAUAUUGCACAAUGGGCGCAAGCCUGAUGCAGCCAUGCCGCGUGUAUGAAGAAGGCCUUCGGGUUGUAAAGUACUUUCAGCGGGGAGGAAGGGAGUAAAGUUAAUACCUUUGCUCAUUGACGUUACCCGCAGAAGAAGCACCGGCUAACUCCGUGCCAGCAGCCGCGGUAAUACGGAGGGUGCAAGCGUUAAUCGGAAUUACUGGGCGUAAAGCGCACGCAGGCGGUUUGUUAAGUCAGAUGUGAACUCCCCGGGCUCAACCUGGGAACUGCAUCUGAUACUGGCAAGCUUGAGUCCCGUAGAGGGGGGUAGAAUUCCAGGUGUAGCGGUGAAAUGCGUAGAGAUCUGGAGGAAUACCGGUGGCGAAGGCGGCCCCCUGGACGAAGACUGACGCUCAGGUGCGAAAGCGUGGGGAGCAAACAGGAUUAGAUACCCCCGUAGUC